UACGUAGGGACCGAGCGUUGUCCGGAAUCAUUGGGCGUAAAGAGCUCGUAGGCGGUGUGUCGCGUCGGCCGUGAAAACCUGCAGCUUAACUGUGGGCUUGCGGUCGAUACGGGCAUCACUGGAGUUCGGCAGGGGAGACUGGAAUUCCUGGUGUAGCGGUGAAAUGCGCAGAUAUCAGGAGGAACACCGGUGGCGAAGGCGGGUCUCUGGGCCGUAACUGACGCUGAGGAGCGAAAGCAUGGGGAGCGAACAGG
rnacentral:rRNA from 1 species